GAUGAACGCUGGCGGCGUGCCUAAUACAUGCAAGUCGAGCGAACAGACGAGGAGCUUGCUCCUUUGACGUUAGCGGCGGACGGGUGAGUAACACGUGGGUAACCUACCUAUAAGACUGGGAUAACUUCGGGAAACCGGAGCUAAUACCGGAUAAUAUUUCGAACCGCAUGGUUCGAUAGUGAAAGAUGGCUUUGCUAUCACUUAUAGAUGGACCUGCGCCGUAUUAGCUAGUUGGUAAGGUAACGGCUUACCAAGGCAACGAUACGUAGCCGACCUGAGAGGGUGAUCGGCCACACUGGAACUGAGACACGGUCCAGACUCCUACGGGAGGCAGCAGUAGGGAAUAUUGCGCAAUGGGCGAAAGCCUGACGGAGCAACGCCGCGUGAGUGAUGAAGGUCUUCGGAUCGUAAAACUCUGUUAUUAGGGAAGAACAAACGUGUAAGUAACUGUGCACGUCUUGACGGUACCUAAUCAGAAAGCCACGGCUAACUACGUG
rnacentral:rRNA from 1 species